UAGGGAAUUUUCGUCAAUGGGGGAAACCCUGAACGAGCAAUGCCGCGUGAGUGAAGAAGGUUUUCGGAUCGUAAAGCUCUGUUGUAAGUGAAGAAUGGCCAGUAUAGGAAAUGAUAUUGGAGUGACGGUAACUUACCAGAAAGCCACGGCUAACUCCGUGCCAGCAGCCGCGGUAAUACGGGGGGUGCAAGCGUUGUCCGGAAUCAUUGGGCGUGAAGCGUUCGUAGGCGGUAUGUCAAGUCUGGUGUUAAAGCCCGAGGCUCAACCUCGGUUCGGCAUUGGAUACUGGCAAACUAGAAUGUGGUAGAGGUAAAGGGAAUUCCUGGUGUAGCGGUGAAAUGCGUAGAUAUCAGGAGGAACAUCGGUGGCGAAAGCGCUUUACUGGACCAUUAUUGACGCUGAGGAACGAAAGCCAGGGGAGCAAAUG
rnacentral:rRNA from 1 species